UACGUAGGGCGCAAGCGUUAUCCGGAAUUAUUGGGCGUAAAGAGCUCGUAGGCGGUUUGUCGCGUCUGCUGUGAAAGACCGGGGCUCAACUCCGGUUCUGCAGUGGGUACGGGCAGACUAGAGUGCAGUAGGGGAGACUGGAAUUCCUGGUGUAGCAGUGAAAUGCGCAGAUAUCAGGAGGAACACCGAUGGCGAAGGCAGGUCUCUGGGCUGUAACUGACGCUGAGGAGCGAAAGCAUGGGGAGCGAACAGG
rnacentral:rRNA from 1 species